rnacentral:rRNA from 1 species
UACAGAGGGGGGCUAGCGUUGUUCGGAAUUACUGGGCGUAAAGAGCUCGUAGGUGGCUUGUUGCGUCUGCCGUGAAAGCCCGUGGCUUAACUACGGGUCUGCGGUGGAUACGGGCAGGCUAGAGGCUGGUAGGGGCAAGCGGAAUUCCUGGUGUAGCGGUGAAAUGCGUAGAUAUCUGGAGGAACACCGGUGGCGAAGGCGGCAUCCUGGACCGGUAUUGACGCUGAUGAGCGAAAGCUAGGGGAGCAAACGGGAUUAAGAAAC